rnacentral:piRNA from 1 species
UGAGAGUGCGCAUGGAAAUCUUCUGUCCC